rnacentral:rRNA from 1 species
GGUUAAGCGACUAAGCGUACACGGUGGAUGCCCUGGCAGUCAGAGGCGAUGAAGGGCGUGCUAAUCUGCGAUAAGCGCCGGUAAGGUGAUAUGAACCGUUAUAACCGGCGAUACCCGAAUGGGGAAACCCAGUGUGACUCGUCACACUAUCAUUAACUGAAUCCAUAGGUUAAUGAGGCGAACCGGGGGAACUGAAACAUCUAAGUACCCCGAGGAAAAGAAAUCAACCGAGAUUCCCCCAGUAGCGGCGAGCGAACGGGGAGGAGCCCAGAGCCUGAAUCAGCAUGUGUGUUAGUGGAAGCGUCUGGAAAGACGCGCGAUACAGGGUGACAGCCCCGUACACAAAAGCGUAUGUGCUGUGAGCUCGAUGAGUAGGGCGGGACACGUGGUAUCCUGUCUGAAUAUGGGGGGACCAUCCUCCAAGGCUAAAUACUCCUGACUGACCGAUAGUGAACCAGUACCGUGAGGGAAAGGCGAAAAGAACCCCGGCGAGGGGAGUGAAAAAGAACCUGAAACCGUGUACGUACAAGCAGUGGGAGCACAGGUUUACCUGUGUGACUGCGUACCUUUUGUAUAAUGGGUCAGCGACUUAUAUUCUGUAGCAAGGUUAACCGAAUAGGGGAGCCGGAGGGAAACCGAGUCUUAAUUGGGCGUUAAGUUGCAGGGUAUAGACCCGAAACCCGGUGAUCUAGCCAUGGGCAGGUUGAAGGUUGGGUAACACUAACUGGAGGACCGAACCGACUAAUGUUGAAAAAUUAGCGGAUGACCUGUGGCUGGGGGUGAAAGGCCAAUCAAACCGGGAGAUAGCUGGUUCUCCCCGAAAGCUAUUUAGGUAGCGCCUCGUGAAUUCAUCUCCGGGGGUAGAGCACUGUUUCGGCUAGGGGGUCAUCCCGACUUACCAACCCGAUGCAAACUGCGAAUACCGGAGAAUGUUAUCACGGGAGACACACGGCGGGUGCUAACGUCCGUCGUGAAGAGGGAAACAACCCAGACCGCCAGCUAAGGUCCCAAAGUCAUGGUUAAGUGGGAAACGAUGUGGGAAGGCCCAGACAGCCAGGAUGUUGGCUUAGAAGCAGCCAUCAUUUAAAGAAAGCGUAAUAGCUCACUGGUCGAGUCGGCCUGCGCGGAAGAUGUAACGGGGCUAAACCAUGCACCGAAGCUGCGGCAGCGAACGUAUCACUUAAAGCGAUUCAGCGGGUUACGAUUGACGGAGCGAAGCGACGUCAAAGCGUAUACAAAGUCGAGUCGGUUUAAGGAUACGU